AUUAUAGUACCUCAAUCCCAGAAAAACAUGCUCUUUAUAACUAAUUAAUUAAGUAACCCAGAAAAACAUGCUCUUUAUAACUAAUUAAUUAAGUAACCAACUUCACGAGUACUAAAAGCUUGCCCACUCCUACAUAUUUUGUCGUAUUGCUAUAAUUUUCCACAAUAAAAUCUGUUGAUGCCAAAUGAAAAAAAGAAUAAAAUAAAAAAGUAUAAAGGGUUCUGUUUCUUUCGUUUAACGGGGCAGAUAUUUUGUUGGCUACUAAUUUUGAUGUCGUUUGCAUUACAAAAAAAAGGAAGGGAUCAUUAAAUUUCUUGGAAGCAAAUCAAAAGUUCUAUUCGAAAGCAACGUAUGGAAUCAUUUUAAUUAUCAUAUAAUAAAAUGAUUUAAGUUGGAUCUAGUUGAUGUCGACUAUGACUAGGUUGAAAAGUCGAGUAUAAAAAAUAGCACUAUAGCAUCAAUUUUAACGCGGUUUGGUGACAUUUGGCCUACCCUAAUCAAUCAUAUUAUUCUCAGUACAAAAUUUUAUAUUUCUCGGAAGUCACUGAGAAAUUUCUUGAUAGUUGGUGAUCAAAUUAACCGAAAAUGGAGGAAAAAGUUGCUUCCAGAACAAUAGAGCAAGUUGGAAAGAGAGGUGGGUAAGGUUUUUCUUUACCAAUAUUUUUUGCGGAUUAAGAUUAUGCACAACAACUUAAUUAAUUCUUUAAAUUGUUAAUUUUUUAACAAGAAAAAAAAAGGACGAAUUUAAAUAAUUAAUUAAUUGUCAAGUGGGUGAUGGCAGCAGAAUUAUUAUCGGCUAAUGGGCUGGUAGACUCCGUCAACAGACGGAGAAACAACGGCGGAAAUAACGGAGACCAACCACACCCACAUUAUCAGGAAAAACAAACCCACGCUCAUGUAUGAAGCAUGGGUGCGUGCUGGAGCAUUUUGAUUUUGGCAAGGAGAGCGAAGACAAUGAUGAAAAUUCAAUUUAUUAAUACUAAAAAUUCAAUUUAUUGUUUGUAUACAGAGUAGGAAAUUUCCAUUAUUGAUACUUUAUUUGCACAAUUUUUCCUCCUAGCACAUCAAUAUAAUAAAAUAAUUUAACUGAUUAUAUUUUGUAAUGGACUAUGGUAAUUUGAUUGAAUAGUGCAUUGUGUGUGGAUUACGUGUUGUAGGAGUUAUGAAUAUGUUAAAAAACAAUAGAUACUUGAAUAUUAAAAAAAUAAUCAUAAAUUAUUGAAAAUUGUCAUAAAUGAUCCUAAUUGAGAAUUCUCAAUUUUAUAUUCUUUUUGAGAUUGUAAAAUUUCCCUCUUAUUCCUGAAUCACUAUUUUUAUUUAUGAUUAGUUCAAUUACAUUACCAUAGUGAUUCUUAUAAUUUUGGUUGAGUAGUUUUUACUUUCAUCCAGCUCAAAAAGUUAAAAUUACACAUUAAAAAAAAAGAUUUAGACUUUGUUUUCAAAAAUGUCGUUAUAGGAAUCUUUAAAUUUUCACAUAUUUUCUUUUUCAGAAUAACUUAUUAAUAUUUGGAAAAUAACUUUAAAUCGUUAAAAAUAAUCUACAAAUAUACAAAUAGAAAAUUAGAAUGAUGAGCUAGUGUGUGAGGUGUGGCACACUCGUACGCGCGUGAUAUAAAUGUUUAACAAUAUCUUAAGGGCAUGUUUGGUACAUUAUAUUAUAGGGUAUUAAAAUACUAUUCACAUUAAAAUAAUAUCAAACCCAUUUUUGGAACAAAAUUACAAGGAAUUAGGGUAGGGGACUAAUGACACAUUAGGGUGGGGGGCUAAUGCCUUUUUUUUUUUUUUUUUUGGUUUUGCUUUUGGUUUUAACUUUUCUUUU
rnacentral:lncRNA from 1 species